rnacentral:rRNA from 1 species
GUGAAAUUGUUGAAAGGGAAGCGCUUGCAGCCAGACGUGCCCGUAGUUGCUCAUCUGGGGUUUUCCCCAGUGCACUCUUCUAUGGGCAGGCCAGCAUCAGUUCGGGCGGUUGGAGAAAGACCUGUGUCACGUAGCUCUCUUCGGGGAGUGUUAUAGGGCAGGUGGAAUGCAACCAGCCUGAACUGAGGUCCGCGCAUCUGCUAGGAUGCUGGCGUAAUGGCUGUAAGCGGCCCGUCUUGAAACACGGACCAAGGAGUCUAACAUCUAUGCGAGUGUUUGGGUGUCAAGCCCGAGCGCGUAAUGAAAGUGAACGGAGGUGGGAACCCCUCGGGGCGCACCAUCGACCGAUCCUGAUGUCUUCGGAUGGAUUUGAGUAAGAGCAUAGCUGUUGGGACCCGAAAGAUGGUGAACUAUGCCUGAAUAGGGUGAAGCCAGAGGAAACUCUGGUGGAGGCUCGCAGCGGUUCUGACGUGCAAAUCGAUCGUCAAAUUUGGGCAUAGGGGCGAAAGACUAAUCGAACUAUCUAGUAGCUGGUUCCUGCCGAAGUUUCCCUCAGGAUAGCAGUAACGUUUUCAGUUUUAUGAGGUAAAGCGAAUGAUUAGAGGCCUGGGGGUUGAAACAACCUUCACCUAUUCUCAAACUUUAAAUAUGUAAGAAGUCCUUGUUUCUUAAUUGAACGUGGACAUUUGAAUGUAUCGUUACUAGUGGGCCAUUUUUGGUAAGCAGAACUGGCGAUGCGGGAUGAACCGAACGCGGGGUUAAGGUGCCAGAAUGCACGCUCAUCAGACACCACAAAAGGUGUUGGUUCAUCUAG